rnacentral:lncRNA from 1 species
UUUUAAUGUGUUAAUUUUAAAAAUUAUUAAUUUUUCUUAUUUGAGUUGAUAUUAAUAAGAAAAAUUUUAAAAAAUUAAAUUAAAUUAAAUUUACAAAUAAAAAGAAAGUUGAAGGAACAAGUUAUAUAUAAAUAUGAUCUGAGAGUAAUUUAAAAAAAAAAAUACACAAUAAACCCUAAACCUUAACCUAUCUCUGCCCAACCAGCCGCCACCACCCAUCCUGCGGCCGUUCACCCCCUCUCUUUGCCCAAAGACAAACCAGAGCCUCCACAGAGAACCCACACAAACCUUCAGCCCCUCACCUGAUCUCCCUUCCCAUCACCAUUUUCCUUCAUUUUCACCUCUUCAGCCGGACACACACUCGGCCAUAACUUCCUUCAUCUUCCCCACUCACAACCCCUCACUUCCACUCUACCCACAGUGUCACUCUCCCAGACGAACCAGCCUCCCUUUCCCCUCUCCAUCGGCCAUCUCACAUUUUCCUUUCCCAGCCGGCUACAAGACAGCCCCCAGCAAACAACUCACGGAGGAGAUCACCACAUAUUCCCUUCUCCUUUUACAGCCCCUCACCAGAAUCUCUCUCACUUGGCUAAGGCCUCUCGAAACCAGAGCCACUGACUCGGCCAGCCACGCACCAGGCCUUCUCCCCUCAGCCACGACCUCCAUCUCCACCAGCCGCCGCCCAACAUUUCCUCCUCCUUACCACCGGCUACCUAAAGCAGAGGGGAAGACGGCGAAGCCCAAAGAACAGAUCUGAGAAAGAAGAAAGUGAAGCAGAUCAGGAUGGAAAGCAGAAGAAAACAGAUCUGAAAAAUAACUAAAACAGACUGCUUGUGCGUUUUCUUUUGGUUGCAGGUGACAAGGAUCUUCGCCGCCGGCGAGGAAGGGAUGAAGGAAGGAAGCCAAGCCAGAUCCACCCCGUCUCAUGUUUUUCUUGCGGCGGCGCCACUGUCCUGCAGUUCCAAAAGACCUUCCCUGCAAUUCCUGGAGUUUGAGGGGUUAUUUUGUAAAUUUUAAAUUGAUUAAUGUAAAUUUUGCAUAGCUUUGAAUUUUUAUAAUCUGUAGUAUGGAUGUAAAAAAAAAGAAGAACAAAAAAAAAUAAAAAAAAAUAUAGUGAAUGUGAAUGUGUAUAUUGUAUUUUUUUUUUAUGAUAAAAUUAUAAAGAAUAUAAAAG